rnacentral:rRNA from 1 species
AGCGAACGCUGGCGGCAGGCCUAACACAUGCAAGUCGAACGAACUCUUCGGAGUUAGUGGCGGACGGGUGAGUAACACGUGGGAACGUGCCUUUUGGUUCGGAAUAACUCAGGGAAACUUGUGCUAAUACCGAAUGCGCCCUUCGGGGGAAAGAUUUAUCGCCAUUAGAGCGGCCCGCGUCUGAUUAGCUAGUUGGUGUGGUAACGGCUCACCAAGGCGACGAUCAGUAGCUGGUCUGAGAGGAUGACCAGCCACACUGGGACUGAGACACGGCCCAGACUCCUACGGGAGGCAGCAGUGGGGAAUCUUGCGCAAUGGGCGAAAGCCUGACGCAGCCAUGCCGCGUGAAUGAUGAAGGUCUUAGGAUUGUAAAAUUCUUUCACCGGGGACGAUAAUGACGGUACCCGGAGAAGAAGCCCCGGCUAACUUCGUG